AGAGAGCUCAAGAGCAAGAAACCUGAUUCACAUGAGUAAAACUUCUCUCUCAUCCAGUGAUAUUGCCUUGGGUGGUAUCUUGCCCCUGUGUUAACAGAGUGAAUACAAAGACUUUCAAAAUCUUUGUGUUUCAAAAACACAAAGGAUUUAAAAAUCCUGCCAACGCAACUUGAAACCAAGUUAAGGAUUUUCUUUGGGCCACGAGUGAAAGACGUGAAACAAUUUCUUUCCUGAGAUGAUGACCUACCCAAGAGAUUGCUGUAGAAAAUUACCUAUAAUGAAUGAAAAUCACAAAGAAUCUCAACCCAAAGUAGACCACGUGGACAACAACUUCGCAACUUGCCUUCUCAAGCUCUUAGUGAUGGUUCUUAUUUUUUAUGUAUUCCGGGAGGAAUGUUUUGGAAAUAAGAAAAGAAAAGGAAAUGUCUCUAGCAUCUGCUGGCCUGCUUUCUGCCUCUGUGAAUUUACCUAUCCAGGUAUGAUUGCACAUGCAUGGGAUUAUACAAUAUGCCAACUUUUCUGUCUGCUUUUUUCCCCUUGUACAAAGUUUUUAAGGUUUGUUCAUGUUGUAGCAUGUAUCAGUAUUUCGUUCUUUCUUUCUUUCUUUCUUUCUUUCUUUCUUUCUUUCUUUCUUUCUUUCUUUCUUUCUUUCCUUUUUUCCUCAGGGCUUCACUGGCAACAUAUGGAAGUUCCCAGACUAGGGGUCUAAUCAGAGCUACAGCUAUCAACCUACACUACAACCACAACAAUGGCAAGAUCUGAGCUGCAUCUGCAACCUACAGCACAGUUCACAGAAACGCCAGAUCCCCAACCCACUGAGAAAGGCCAGGGAUCAAACCCACAUCCUCAUGGAUUCUAGUCAGAUUCAAUUCUGCUGUGCCACGAACGGAACUCCCAGUGUUUCAUUUUUUUUUUUUUAAGGCUGAGUAGUGCUUCAUUGUAUGGACAUACCACAUUUUAUUUAUCCAUAAAUCGUUGAUGAGCAUUUAGGCUUUUUAUACCUUUUCAUUGCUAUGAAUGGUGUUCCUUUGGAUAUUUGUAUUCAUGUAUGUGUUUAAAUGUCUGUUUUCAAUUUGGGGGGAUAUUGCUUGGUCAUAUGGUCUACUUUGUUUAACAUUUUGAGGAUCUACCAAACUAUUUCCCAGAGAGAUGGAACCAUUUUACAUUACAGCCAGCAAAGUAUUAGAGUUCCAGUUUCUCUGCAAUCUCAACAACACAUUAUUUUUCCUUUUUUAAAAAAAAUAAGCCAUACUAGUGCCUUUAAAAUGGUAUUUCAUUAUGAUUUUAAUUUCUAUCCCUUCAUGACAAAAGAUGAUCAUCUUUCCAUGUGCUAGUUGGCCAUUUGUGUAUCUUCUUUUGAAAAAUGUCUAUUCAAGUCCUUUGCUCUUUUUUUUUUCUGUCCAUGUCAUGCAGAAGUUCCUGGGUCAGGGAUUGAAUCCAAGCCACAGCAGUGACAAUGCCAAGUCCUUAACUGCGAGGACACCAGGGAACUCCACUUUGCUGAUUUUUUUUAAUUUAAUUUUUUAAUUUUAGGAGUUCCCAUAAUGGCGCAGCAGAAAUGAAUCUGACUAGGAACCAUGAGGUUGCUGGUUUGAUUCCUGGCCUUGCCAUGAGCUGUGGUGUAAGUUGCAGAUGUGGCUGGGAUCUGAUGUUUGCUAUGGCUGUGGCAUAGGCUGGCAGCUGUAGCUCUGAUUGGGCCUAGCCUGGAAACCUCCAUAUGCCAUGGGUGCAGCCCUAAAAAG
rnacentral:lncRNA from 9 species